rnacentral:snRNA from 1 species
AUGCUCUCUUGAGCAGCACACAUGCUAAAAUGGAAUGAUACAAAGAAGAUUAGGACAAGAAUGACACAGAAAUUCGUGAAGCAUUCUAUAUUUUU